GCUGCCGAACCCAGCCGCGCCAACCUAGGUUGUUUCUCACUACUGCUGCCUACACUGAAUCCUACCGCGUCGCUGCAGCUGUGGCUGUGAGGACACCCGUGCCCUUUGUACUGCCAUGCCCUCGGUGUCACACGAGGCCAGCCAACACUGCCUGAAACACCUUGGCACAGAUUCCCCGUGUAUGGUGUGAUUCGCACUGGUUUUACUGUACAAAGUGUUCUGCUCUCACGUGAGCAUAAUGAUUUAAUUGCAGAAAGACAUUUCCCACAGUUAUCCCUUCUAUAUAAACAUUAUAGUAGUAUAAUCUUUAGGUUGAAUUGUUAUGAGUAUUUGGAUUUUAAAAUUGCCGUGGCUGAUUUGAAUUUCAUAGAAAAUCAAUCAGUGAAUUUUGGUUUGAGAUUAGGACUAAAUUUUCCAGUAAAUGUCUCCCUAGAUUUUCCUAUUCUAUGUAUAUAUAUAAUAUAUAUAUAUAUAUAUAUAUAUAUAUAUAUAUAUAUAUAUAUAUAUUAAAUUAUGACAUUAUUUUCUGUGUAUAUGCUAACCAACUCCAUCUCUCCAGACCAACACUGAGCUAUCUUGCCAGCUCAUAUGGUACAUAUUUAUCUGAAGCAGCAUCCUCAAUAUUGACAACUAUAAAUCAACUCUAUGUAUUGUAGUAACUAUUUAAGCGAUUUUUUUUUAGACUGACAGCACAGUUCACACGGGUAUCUCAUUUAUAGGACUAAACUAUGUGUCCAUCCUAAAAGAAUGUCUAUUGAAAAUGGGUAUAGACACAAUGUAAUUUUUUUUCAGUCACAAAUAAUGGGGUUUGUCAUUCACAAAAUGGAUGCAACUUAAUUAAGCAAAUUAACUCGGUCUCAGAUAAAUAUUGUAUAUUUUCCCUCAUUUUCUAUCCUAGUGUCACUGAGCAGCAUCAACACUUGGUGACGUCACCUUUGUAUGCUGUGCAGUCACGAACAGACCUUCUGAUGCGGUACACACAUCAGAUUAAAAAAAAAACAAAACUUACUAAUGUGUGAGGCAGAUGAAGAUCUUAUGUGCUGUUUCUCCUUGUCUUCUGAAUUAGUAUAGCAGUAAUCCUGCUGAGUGCUUGACUUUCAGUUAUUGAGUAAUGAUUUAUGUGCAACAUUUAUGCAAUAUGUAUCCAUUGGAUGGGUUAUGUAAUUAGCCUUAUCAUUCCUGAACUGAAAGUGACAUUAAAUUAGGAGGAAGCGUGCUCUGAAUGUCUACCAAUUCCUCAGUGUACAGAUGGUCAGAGAAUACCAAGAACACAAGAAGAAAUUGGGAGGACAAAAAGUUACAACUGAUAGCCAGUAUGGUGUACAUGACUGUUGUUCUGUUGUUCAAGCACCAGAUGGCCACUUUGGGGCUAGCCUGGGCUACCUACAUGUACUCUAUCUU
rnacentral:lncRNA from 1 species